rnacentral:rRNA from 1 species
GUGGAUUAGAUACCCUGGUAGUCCACGCCGUAAACGUUGAUAACUCGAUGUUGGCGAUAUACUGUCAGCGUCUUAGCGAAAGCGUUAAGUUAUCCACCUGGGGAGUACGCCGGCAACGGUGAAACUCAAAGGAAUUGACGGGGGCCCGCACAAGCGGUGGAGCAUGUGGUUUAAUUCGAUGAUACGCGAGGAACCUUACCUGGACUUAAAUGGGAAUUGACGAAUGCAGAAAUGUAUUGUUCCUUCGGGACAAUUUUCAAGGUGCUGCACGGUCGUCGUCAGCU